rnacentral:rRNA from 1 species
CCCCAGACUCCUACGGGAGGCAGCAGUGGGGGAUAUUGCACAAUGGGGGGAACCCUGAUGCAGCGACGCCGCGUGGGUGAAGGAGCGUUUCGGCGCGUAAAGCCCUAUCGGCAGGGAAGAAGGAGGACGGUACCUGACUAAGAAGCCCCGGCUAACUACGUGCCAGCAGCCGCGGUAAUACGUAGGGGGCAAGCGUUAUCCGGAUUUACUGGGGGUAAAGGGAGCGUAGACGGCGGCGCAAGCCAGAUGUGAAAGCCCGGGGCUCAACGGCGGGACUGCAUUUGGAACUGUGUGGCUGGAGUGUCGGAGAGGCAGGCGGAAUUCCUAGUGUAGCGGUGAAAUGCGUAGAUAUUAGGAGGAACACCAGUGGCGAAGGCGGCCUGCUGGACGAUGACUGACGUUGAGGCUCGAAAGCGUGGGGAGCAAACAGGAUUAGAUACCCCCGUAA